UUACGGCCACAUCACGUUGAAACACCAGAAGUGACUUUAAGUUGGCUCCUGUAUGAUCACUGCAGUUAAGCAACAUCGAGCUUUGUCAGUAUUUAGAUGGGGGAUCACUUGGGAAUACCAGGUGCUGUAA